UUAGAAAAUGUUGUUGUACUAUAACCUCAGCAACGUGAGCAGUUUUGCUUCCUCUUUUCCCCUAUCAGGAUGAGACUUUGCCUGUUCCACUAAAAGGAAGUAUUUUACCACUCCUCUUUGGCACGCCUGAACUGCCAGAAUCGUUACUUGCUUUGGGGCCAUUAUUAAGUAAAACACAGGCAACAAGCACUGUGAUGCCACAAUGGUCAAUCUGACAACAGAUUCACAGAUUCAGCUUCUAAGCAGCCAACACCCAGGCAGUGUAGUCAGGCUGGAUACGCCGGACAAAGGAAUGACACGUAAGGAGUCACUGGUGAGGAGGUUCUACCACCUCCCAGUAGGGCCACAGGCUGAGGUCCAGGCCUCCAACACACAUCCUCUGGAGGACUCAUACGACCAGAGCUAUAGCUCUUGAAAAGAACGAGAAGCUAGUAAAGAUACAGGAGGAACUCACAUCCAUUAAGAAUCAGGACUUCUAGGCAAGGAGAUUUCCAGCCAUGCAGCAGUGCAAGCCAGCUGAGUUAAAGUCACUUUGGCACGGAUGUCUGGAGAAGAGUGACAGUUACGCCUAAGCCGGGUAGCUCAUUUCAUAUCCAUAACCACAAAUGAUUUAAUUUCGCAGUGGCCACUUGGGUCAAUGAGAGUUAGGAUCAGAAUUUCACUGGGACUGUUAGAAAACAGUCUUCCUCUUUCCUGCUGAAAUUGCUACCAAUAAAGAUACUGAGGAAGCCGGCGCUGGCACGGUCCACCAUGUGGGAUCAGAACAUGAAGCCACACAGUCAGAAGCAGACUCAGACAGUGAUGUGCUGCCUCCUAAUGAAUCUAAUCCAACCAUAUCUAAAUCUCACUGCUCUGUGGAGUCUGCAGUUUCUGAGCCAAUAAAAUCCCAUUUUUGCUUAAGCCUGGUUGAAUCAGAUUAUAUACUCUCAAUGGAAAGAUUUCUGGCUAAUCUUAUUUCCCAUGCAACCCUCACUUUGAGGACAAAUUUAGUGAAGAGACAGCCCCCUCUAUUUCACUUACCCAUUGGUUUAUUUCUCUGCAAACAUAAAUUAAGAAUAAUGUAUAGGAAAAUCUUGCCUAGGACCUUAUAAUUGCAACCAACGACACCAAAAGUCACUCUUUUCUAAGCUGAGCUAGCAUUAGCAAACCAGAAAGAUAAACAGACUACAAAGGCUUCACUGAGGACCAUCUGAGCUCUGAUCGGCUUGUCUCAAACAGUGUGAAGCAAGAUUUAUGCUUUAGCCCUGAAGCUGUCACAUUCUAAGCUGCUGAUGCACGUAAGUAAAAAUCUAUUGUGCAGAGACUGAUUCCAGGAGAUAAACAGCAAGCUGCUUCCGCAAACACUGCUGUGAACAACAUUUGGCACCUGGCCCCCAGCACGCAGGUGAAGAAACUAAAGCAUAAUCCCUUAUCCUGUACAACCCUGACUGCAAGUAUGUGCCAGAAAACACGGGAGGGAAAAAGCUACUGCGACCACAAAUACAGCAUGGAUACACGCCACAGAGGAGAAAAAUAACAGCCAGUUUGGGAGUGGACUUUUCUUCUUUCAAAGCAAAUCCUCGAACUCCGACGUUUUUCAUAUUCAGUGGGCUUUCCCUUGACACCUACAUUUGCCAUGUAUCACAGACGGGUACGCUCAUUCUAGUAACACACAUUCUCCGUCUCCCCAGCUAGGUGUAAGUCCCUGGCAGACUAGGAUCUUGUCUUCCCAGGCCUCAAAUAGUAUCUGUCAUACAGUACACUUAGAGGCAAUUUAUCAAAACAUGAAAUACUCAGCUAGCAAAGAGUUUAUCAUGAAAUGAAUAAUUCUCCCUUCCUUGCUUAAAAAUAGUAGUUACUACUUACUGAAUGCUCUUGCCCACCAAGAGAUUUGCUAAAACCACAGAGA